rnacentral:rRNA from 1 species
CCUACGGGCGGCAGCAGUGAGGAAUAUUGGUCAAUGGCCGGAAGGCUGAACCAGCCAUGCCGCGUGAAGGUCAGUGCCCUAUGGGCGUUAAACUUCUUUUGUGCAGGAGCAAUAAUGGUCACGUGUGGCCAGACGAGAGUACCGUACGAAUAAGCAUCGGCUAACUCCGUGCCAGCAGCCGCGGUAAUACGGGGGAUGCACGCGUUAUCCGGAUUUAUUGGGUUUAAAGGGUGCGUAGGCUGUGAGGUAAGUCAGCGGUGAAAUGCCCCCGCUCAACGGGGUGAAGUGCCAUUGAUACUGCCUGGCUGGAAUGCAGAUGUCGUGGGAGGAAUGUGUGGUGUAGCGGUGAAAUGCAUAGAUAUCACACAGAACACCGAUUGCGAAGGCAUCUCACGAAUCCGCGAUUGACGCUGAUGCACGAAAGCGUGGGUAUCAAACAGGAUUAGAUACCCCAGUAGUC